rnacentral:rRNA from 1 species
GCCCAGACUCCUACGGGAGGCAGCAGUGGGGAAUAUUGCACAAUGGGGAAACCCUGAUGCAGCAACGCCGCGUGAGUGAAGAAGUAUUUCGGUAUGUAAAGCUCUAUCAGCAGGGAAGAAGAAGGACGGUACCUGACUAAGAAGCCCCGGCUAACUACGUGCCAGCAGCCGCGGUAAUACGUAGGGGGCGAGCGUUAUCCGGAUUUACUGGGUGUAAAGGGAGCGUAGACGGUUAAUCAAGUCUGAAGUGAAAGCCCGCGGCUCAACUGCGGAACGGCUUUGGAAACUGAGUAACUGGAGUGCUGGAGGGGCAGGCGGAAUUCCUGGUGUAGCGGUGAAAUGCGUAGAUAUUAGGAGGAACACCAGUGGCGAAGGCGGCUUGCUGGACAGUAACUGACGUUGAGGCUCGAAAGCGUGGGGAGCAAACAGGAUUAGAUACCCCAGUA